CUUCCUCUUCUUACCCAGCCUAUUGGUGGUUGUUGAUUUCUUCCGUGGUCAAUUUCAGGUUUUUCAAUUAAUUCAUCCACAAUGGUACACAUGAGUCCAGAAAUGAAAUCUCGUGUCAGCAGUGUGCUGUGGUUAGCUAAGACAAUAUUCCAUGUAGGAUUUAUUCCUUCUGUACUUUAUUUAGGUUUCAAAAAAGGUGCCGACGAAGGAAUGCCAGAAUUAACAGUGAUGAGUUUAUUGUGGCAGUAAGAUGAAACAAAACACCACAAAUCAUGGUUAGCUGAGAUGAAAGAUUGUACAUAUUUGUGAAGAGAAAAUAUUUACUUCCUGUUCCAGAAACUUGUUAAACAUGACAAAAUGGUUUUGAAAAUAAAUCUUUAACUUCCAA